CCCAUGCUGAGGGACAUUUAGAUCCCUUAACAGAUAAUUGCAAUGUGUAACUCACUCAAUUCUGUACAAUAAAUGAAAAUUUAUCUCACAAACCCGCUCCAAGAGGACAUCUGAACACAUCUGAUGCCUAAAGGAUUUACUAUUCCAGCAGUGAGUUAGUUCAUUACUUACAGCUCAACAGAGGGGUAUGAACAGUGGUGGAUCUUCCGUGGGAGCACGGGGGAGCAGUGGCAAACCCUGUGAUCUGAUUGGCCAGCCCGUGUGCCCCUCAAAGAUUUUCGUUGGAAAUUUACAUUACUGAUACUAUUUCCGUCGCUCCUGAACGCAACUUCGUUGUCCGACUGCCCCUGAAUGCACCAAUGACGUUAGUUUGAUCUUUUGAUCAUAUUUCCUUUGGAUUUGAAGAAGCUUUGACUACGUUUCCUGAUGUCAGAGGAGAAGACCAGCAGCUUUGUACCUUUGCGAGUGAAAGUAGCAGUUCCUCCUUAAAGUCAGAGAGUGCAGCAUCUGAGGGCCUCUUCAAAAGCAGACGUAGUUGAUGAAGAUGUUCUGGGGCAGGACCAGAAAGACCACAACCAAGCAGCCUGGAGAUCUUAGGCAGCGUCUCCUUCAGGUUCCUCUCUAUCUCCCCACACAUCUACCAACCACUGGAACACAUCUCCAAAGUUCUGCCGGGCCAGCUCAGCUUCUCCUCACAAGAAGUGCCACCAAAUGAAGGAGCCUUUUGAGAUGCAGCUGGCAUCGUGAUUGGACUGUACUUUGAUCUGUUCCAAUCCAGCUUUAGCUCCCGAGACGGCAGGCGGGACGAGUCGGGUGGAUGAAGGCAUGCAGCUGAGAACAAUCCAGAAAACAACAGAGGAGGAGUGCAGCCACCCAGGGCCAGAACAAACAGAGUAGCAGAGUAUGUCUCUGAGAAACAUCAUAGUAUAGCCUUUAGGAUGAAAAAAUGGCAUCAUAUACGUCGUAUGUUGUACAAAUAACAAGUCAAAGGAAAGAGACAUACAUUGUAGUAAUUGUGG